UACAGAGGGUGCAAGCGUUUAAUCGGAAUUACUGGGCGUAAAGCGUGCGUAGACGGUUACAUAAGUCGGGUGUGAAAGCCCCGGGCUCAACCUGGGAAUUGCAUUCGAGACUGCGUAGCUAGGGUGCGGAAGAGGGAAGCGGAAUUUCCGGUGUAGCGGUGAAAUGCGUAGAGAUCGGGAGGAACACCAGAGGCGAAGGCGGCGACCUGGACAGUGACUGACACUCAACUGCGAAAGCGUGGGGAGCAAACAGG
rnacentral:rRNA from 1 species